AGUGAACGCUGGCGGUAGGCCUAACACAUGCAAGUCGAACGGCAGCACAGUAAGAGCUUGCUCUUACGGGUGGCGAGUGGCGGACGGGUGAGGAAUACAUCGGAAUCUACUUUUUCGUGGGGGAUAACGUAGGGAAACUUACGCUAAUACCGCAUACGACCUACGGGUGAAAGCAGGGGAUCUUCGGACCUUGCGCGAUUGAAUGAGCCGAUGUCGGAUUAGCUAGUUGGCGGGGUAAAGGCCCACCAAGGCGACGAUCCGUAGCUGGUCUGAGAGGAUGAUCAGCCACACUGGAACUGAGACACGGUCCAGACCCCUACGGGAGGCAGCAGUGGGGAAUAUUGGACAAUGGGCGCAAGCCUGAUCCAGCCAUACCGCGUGGGUGAAGAAGGCCUUCGGGUUGUAAAGCCCUUUUGUUGGGAAAGAAAAGCAGCAGGUUAAUACCCCGCUGUUCUGACAGUACCCAAAGAAUAAGCACCGGCUAACUUCGUG
rnacentral:rRNA from 1 species